rnacentral:rRNA from 1 species
UAGGGAAUCUUCGGCAAUGGGGGGAACCCUGACCGAGCAACGCCGCGUGAGUGAAGAAGGUUUUCGGAUCGUAAAGCUCUGUUGUUAAGGAAGAACGAGUGUGAGAAUGGAAAGUUCAUGCUGUGACGGUACUUAACCAGAAAGGGACGGCUAACUACGUGCCAGCAGCCGCGGUAAUACGUAGGUCCCGAGCGUUGUCCGGAUUUAUUGGGCGUAAAGCGAGCGCAGGCGGUUAGAUAAGUCUGAAGUUAAAGGCAGUGGCUCAACCAUUGUAGGCUUUGGAAACUGUUUAACUUGAGUGCAGAAGGGGGGAGUGGAAUUCCAUGUGUAGCGGUGAAAUGCGUAGAUAUAUGGAGGAACACCAGUGGCGAAGGCGACUCUCUGGUCUGUAACUGACGCUGAGGCUCGAAAGCGUGGGUAGCAAACAGG